rnacentral:piRNA from 1 species
UGAAUACUUUGCUUUUGAUACAGGGAGAG